UACGUAGGGGGCUAGCGUUGUCCGGAAUCAUUGGGCGUAAAGAGCGUGUAGGCGGCCCGGUAAGUCCGCUGUGAAAGUCGGGGGCUCAACCCUCGAAUGCCGGUGGAUACUGUCGGGCUAGAGUGCGGAAGAGGCGAGUGGAAUUCCUGGUGUAGCGGUGAAAUGCGUAGAUAUCAGGAGGAACACCGAUGGCGAAGGCAGGUCUCUGGGCCACUACUGACGCUGAGAAGCGAAAGCUGGGGGAGCGAACAGG
rnacentral:rRNA from 1 species